CCAUUUAAUGGCGCCUGAAGGAACGGGAGGAACGGAUUCCCUAAGGCUUCUCUUUGAUUUUGAACCACCUCCGCCUACACUUGAGCCUUGGGCGAUGGCUGUGCAACUCAGCUAGAAUGCCGACCUUCUUCACUUGAGCUUGGGGAAGGAAGACACAAAGCAAGCUGCCUGAAUAAAAGACACAGCCGCAUCCUACCUUUAGUCUUCAGAAGUUAAAGAAAAAGGAAGGUACAGUUUUCUUCAUGAUGACGUGACAUGCAACACAGAAAAGAUAAUCAACGACCCGAUUUCUUUGUAAGCUGCCCCGAUUGCAUUUUGU